CGAUGCAUAAGAAUGGCGAUAGUAUGCGACCCGAAAUUCAACAAACAAGGAACUACGAGUGGCUCUUGCCUGGGCUUAUCUAUGUACCUGGUGUCAAAUUGAAAGACUCGAACAAAACUAACCAAUCUCGUAUGGUAUUUGUCUAUUCAAUGUCAAGACAUAGGAUCGACAUAGACUGGGAACCUUAUAUUCCUCAUAGAUCCAACCAAAUGAGCUAAUCAAAACUAAUGUAUUUGACUAAAUUUGCUCUUGAAAUAUGGAAUAUGCGGAAAUAAGAUCAUCUGCAACAAUUGUAGAAAAUCCUUAUAAAGGACCAGCAAAACUUUUCGUUGAAGGGAUGGUUAAUGCCUACCAACCACCCCUAGCAGGUGUACAAAAACAGUUGAAUGAAUUGGUGUAAGGCUAUCUAUCCAUAACACUGUAUAUCAAUUUCUUGAAUCAUCAUUAGGGGCCAAUAUUUUUAGAGAGCAACAGGAAAAUUUACUAUCAAAAAUUCACUUGGAGUAUGCGAGUAUAUUGGAUAUUCAGGGUUCUCCUGAUCUUCAAGAUAUGUUUAAUAAAAUGAAAACUUAUAACAGUAAGCUGCAAGACAUCAAAAAAGAUAUGAGGAUUUUGCAUGAACAAGGCGCAAAAUUAAGGAAGAGAGCAGCAAAACUGCAACUGGACCAAUAAAACUCACAAACUAUUUUGUAUAAAAUAUGAUUUUAGCAACCAACAUCAGUAUAACAAGAAGGGCCACUUUUUACAUUGUGUUUUAGCUGACAUGCUCUAAUGUAAUUAUCAAUUACAUAAACAUUAAGAUUAUUGUAAUUUUUAAGAAAUAUCGAAUUUUAUUUUAUUUAUAAAGUUUAUAGCGGACAUGUAAAUUGACCCUAUAUACAAAAGGCUUUAUUACAAGUAAUUGCAGAUGAAAGUUUCACCUCCCAAAUAUGAUUUUAAAAAAUGUCAAUGGACAAUUGGUUUAAAAAAUUGUGGGUAUUGCAAAAAUUAAUCACGAAAAUUAAAAGCUAUUAUAAAACAACUCAAUAAAAAAUUUGUU